rnacentral:rRNA from 1 species
CCGCGGUAAUACGUAGGUGGCAAGCGUUAUCCGGAAUUAUUGGGCGUAAAGCGCGCGCAGGUGGUUUCUUAAGUCUGAUGUGAAAGCCCACGGCUCAACCGUGGAGGGUCAUUGGAAACUGGGGAACUUGAGUGCAGAAGAGGAAAGUGGAAUUCCAAGUGUAGCGGUGAAAUGCGUAGAGAUUUGGAGGAACACCAGUGGCGAAGGCGACUUUCUGGUCUGUAACUGACACUGAGGCGCGAAAGCGUGGGGAGCAAACAGGAUUAGAUACCCUGGUAGUCCACGCCGUAAACGAUGAGUGCUAAGUGUUAGAGGGUUUCCGCCCUUUAGUGCUGCAGCUAACGCAUUAAGCACUCCGCCUGGGGAGUACGGUCGCAA